rnacentral:ncRNA from 2 species
GCCACAUCCAGAGGGGUGGAGGGACUUGGCCCUACGAAACCCCGGCAACCAGCGGUCGCGAGAGCGAUCGAGAAGGUGCCAAAUCCAGCGGCUCGCGUAGCCGGGAGAUGUGGG